rnacentral:lncRNA from 1 species
AUGAUGUCACUCCUGUGGCAGAAGCUCCAGUUGCAUGAAGAUACUUCUAUGGAUCAACAUGAUAAUAUUUUAAAAGUAACUCUGUCUUUCUGUAGUAGCCAGAAGCACCCAUCUUUUUCAUACCACCUCCACCCCCCAAACCAUAAGCACCAUGAGACUUGCAAUGAAAUCCUGGGAAUGGCAAGGCUAGCACCAGAGGUGACCAUCAGUUUUGGAAUUUAAAUCCAGUAACUCUGUCUAUUAAACUUGUACUGGUUACAGAAUAAAUUCUCUAAUUGAAGUGCCA